UUAUAGCUUUCUUCACUCAGCGUAUCCAGUUCUGCAAUUGUAUCAUCAAAAGCUGCUUUUGCCAACCUGCAGGCAGCAUGGUCAGGGGAAUUAAGAAUUUCGUAGUAGAAUACAGAAAAAUUUGAGAGCAAGACCUAAGCGAAUAGGAUGCAUUGGUGGAAGUUCUGUCAUUGCAAUAUCACUAGCAGUUUAUAAGCCACUAGGCUGUUCUCCACAGCCUCCUUCCUGUCAUUUCCUGUGGCAAAUUCUGCCAGAUACCUGUGGUAGUCCCCUUUCAUUUUAUAAUAGAAAACUUUGGACUCGCCAGUGUUAGCUGCUGGAAUGAGGUUUUUGUCCAGUACAUCCAGAAUGUCACAACAGAGUAACUUUAGCUCAGUCUCAAUCAUUUGCUGAUAUUCCCAAAUCAUUUUUAGCUUGUCUUCUCCUUCCUUGUUUUCUUCUUUCUGUUCAAUACUGCUGAUUAUUCUCCAGGAGGCUCUUCUAGCUCCAAUUACAUUCUUAUAUGCAACAGAUGGGAAGUUUAUUUCUUCAACUGUCAGUUCCACAUCCAUCCCUGCUACUUUCUUCAUUGACUACACCAUUUCUUGGAAGAUACUG
rnacentral:lncRNA from 1 species